AAAGUUUUUUCGGUACAAGAUGGACCCGCGUCUGAUUAGCUAGUUGGUGAGGUAACGGCCCACCAAGGCGACGAUCAGUAGCCGACCUGAGAGGGUGACCGGCCACAUUGGGACUGAGACACGGCCCAAACUCCUACGGGAGGCAGCAGUGGGGAAUAUUGCACAAUGGGCGAAAGCCUGAUGCAGCGACGCCGCGUGAGCGAAGAAGUAUUUCGGUAUGUAAAGCUCUAUCAGCAGGGAAGAUAAUGACGGUACCUGACUAAGAAGCACCGGCUAAAUACGUGCCAGCAGCCGCGGUAAUACGUAUGGUGCAAGCGUUAUCCGGAUUUACUGGGUGUAAAGGGAGCGUAGGCGGUUUUACAAGUCUGAUGUGAAAGCCCGGGGCUCAACUCCGGUAUUGCAUUGGAAACUGUAGAACUAGAGUGUCGGAGGGGUAAGUGGAAUUCCUAGUGUAGCGGUGAAAUGCGUAGAUAUUAGGAGGAACACCAGUGGCGAAGGCGGCUUACUGGACGAUUACUGACG
rnacentral:rRNA from 1 species